rnacentral:lncRNA from 1 species
UAUUGAGAAGUCUUGCAUAUCUUAGUCGGCUUAAAGAUCUUCAACCAUUGUUCAAUCUUUCUCCACAGUCAUUGUCUCAAAUUAUUAAUCAUAUGAUUACAUUUAUUACUGAAAAUCAUGUACAUCUUUUAACAGAUCUAAGAAAUGUUCCAUGGUUAAAUGAAGAGAGAAUGGAAACAUAUGCCGAGGCUGUACGUAUAAGAGGUGGUGCUGUUCAAAAUUGUUGGGGUUUAUAGACGGAACAGCAAGGGCAAUAUGCAAGCCAUCACAAAAUCAAGAAGAUUACUAUUCAGGGCAUAAAAGACAGCAUUGCAUAAAAUAUCAGUCUAUUUUGUGUCCAGAUGGGAUUAUCAUAAAUCUAAAAGGAGCACAUAUAGGAAGAAGACAUGAUGCUGGUAUUUAUAGGGAAUCUAAUCUUUAUAAUGAAUUAGAAGGUGUGGCUACUUUUGAGGAUAGAAAUUAUGUUUUAUAUGGGGACCAAGCUUAUCCCAUAAGUAAUUUGCUAUUAUGUCCAUAUCCUAAUAGACAAGGUUUGCUACCCCAUCAACAGGCAUUUAAUAACUCUAUGAAAGUUAUUAGAACUGCUGUAGAAUGGGGGUUUCAAAAAGUUAUAGCUCAAUUUGCAUUCUUAGAUUUAAAAAAAAAAACAGAAACUGUUAUUACAAGAUUUAGAAAAUAUGUAUAAAGUUGGCGUUAUAUUAAAUAAUUGCCAUACUUGCUUGUAUGGUAGCCAAACCUCUCAUUAUUUUGGAGUAGUACCACCAACACUUGAGAACUACCUACAUAUAGAGGAAUAAUAAAAAUGUAAUAAUA